AAUCAUUCCUCUUUGAAGAAACUGUCUUAGCUCAAACUGAUUGUAAAAACAGUUUACUCUUUUCAAUUUUAUCAUAUAUCCAUCAAAUAUAACAUUUAAACUUAGUGUUUUUUGAAUUUCAAGAAGUCCUAAGCCCGAAGGUCUGUACAUUCUCCAGAGCGAGGUCCAAGUUGUUCAGUUAGUUCUUCCUUUCUUUACUUUCCUUGCACCUAGUAAAACUUAUGAGUUAUUUUGUUUACAAUUUUAUUUUCCAUCUUAAUAAGCUCUUUUCAACCACUGACUACAUUUUAGAGAUUAGUGCUUUUCAAUAAACAGAGAAACUGAAGGACAUAAUGAGAUCAAGGGCUGAAACACGUGGUUGAUGGGUUUAGUGUAGCUAAACCAAAACGCUUAAAUCUAGUCGGGCUUUUAAAAACCAUCGCUUCUCUUAUAAAAUCUCGAAAGAAUUAAUGACAUAAUCAAGAAGCAAAACUAACAAGUCUCGUACACAAUAGAAUGUUUUUUUUUUACACAAUAUGUUGUACCUCAAAGUCUAGGCAUAAUAGCUUUGCACGUCUCCUCGAAGUGAUCCUUGAGUAACACUUUAAGACAAAGAGGAUAUUUUGCAGAAGACACAAAUUGUUUUAAGAAAAUUUAAACGGUUUCAAGUUUCAACUGAAGCAAAUAAGAUAAAAUGGCUCAUUGAGUCUUACUAGGUCUGUACCAGCUUUGUCAGCCAAAGAGCCUCCGAAAAUAUCCUUUGUAUGAUCUCCCCCCAUUGUCACAUGCUGUUUUAGAAUUAUCGUGAAGGACUGGAAAAUGAUUUGAGACAACAGAGUAGAAAGGAAGAUACAGUACUUGAAUCAAGAAGUUCAAACGAACCUGUAUCACCUUAUCUUGAAAAAAUCUAUAGAUUUGGGAGGGAUUAGUGGCUCAUUAAUUAUUAAUUACAACCAUCACUAUUCAAUCGAACCUGUAUCUCCUUAUUCGUUUGCGUGGACAUUUUUUUAUCAUCUCUUGAUUAUCAAUAUGAUUGAUUGAUUGAUAAAGACUAGUCUUCACAAAAAGAGGCCGAUGCACAUGGUCUAUGCGAUUCCAAAAUCAUCCUGCUCUCACUUUUGUCCGUUAUCUCACAAAUUGCGUAUAAGUACAAAUGUAUAGGAGAUUCGAUAUCUCCCCCAAGCUUCUAUCUAAU
rnacentral:lncRNA from 1 species